AAGCUGGCAACACAGCAAGCAGGCCGACGGCGGUGUUUACGACAGUCAGCAGUUUUCACGUUUGCUUUGCCGUUUCGCUCGCACGUCAGUCGGCGGUUUGUGCGUGGUGGAGAAAAGUCUGCGUCUCGGUUUUUGCUUGGUCGCGUGAUCGCGAUUCGAAAAGGAUACCCGCAAUAUAAAUAGUGUAGUGUUUGUUUGGAAAGUGUCCGAGCUAAAGAAGUUGAUAGAGCAUAUUAUUCGUCACAACUAACUAAGUUGAAAAAGUUAGGAUUUACCAUUUUCGAUUCUCAGUGUUCAGGUUCUUUGUGUUGUGAUUGGAUAAGCCUUAUCAGUCCGGGCGACUGUCGGAGGUGUCCGAUUGAAUAUUUUUAUUUUAUUAUUACCUGUGUCUCGAGCCAAGAAUUGAUUGUAGUGAAAGACGUGUAGCCGUCGGUAUUUCUGAAAAAUAAACAGGACUAUUGCGCGUUGAAUAGAACCGUAGUCACACACAAUAGAAAUCGGGAUUGGAAAGCGAUCGGAAAAAUGACAACAGACUUGAAAAAAUCAAUACACCACCCCCAGAGGUGGUGGUAUUUUCGUGCGUACAGGUGUUCGGCAAUGAUUUCGAUGGUACUGAUGAUAGUAGCGAUGUUUCCUGUGCGAACAAAUGGGAACAGUCUUAUUUUGACCGGGGAAAAUUGUGCUGUCAAAGAACCGCUCUACAACAUCACAUUCAACCUAUCGGCACUAAAUUCCGAUCUGGCACAUCAUGCAACGUCGGACAUCAAUGAACGGUUUAUCUUCGAUGUGUGCGACCAGUUGGACAUCAAAUGUAACGGUGUAACGGGGGGCGCUGCCUGUCUACGGAGGAAAGAUGGAACGGAAGUGCAACUCGGUAGGAAGUCUACCUUGCAGCUGGUGGAUGGCAGAAUACAUUUCAAUUUCACUGGUGGUGAACCGUGUCAGAAGGGGAGAAAUUAUUCCUUCGACAUUAUUCUGAUGUGCAGCUAUACGAUGGAACCCGAAUCGAUGAGUGUGGUUCCGUACUCGAGCGACCAGUGCAAUUAUUUUAUGUUCUGGUCAACGAAGCUGGCCUGCGCUCCCUUACCGGACAUCGUAAAGAACAAUGAAUGUUCCGUGAAAGACGCUACCGGAUAUGUUUUCAACUUUCUACCAUUAAGCCAUGUCAAUCAUCAUGUACCCGAUAGGAAUGGAUCGCACUUUUUUGUAACUGCAUGCAAACCUGUUCACUACGGCCAUAUGACCAUGUGUCCUCUUGGCAGCAGCGUUUGCUACGUGAACAAGACCGAGGACGACUACACUCGUAAAUAUCAUGACUAUGGACAAACUGAUCCCAAUCCAACCAUCGAACAAGGAAAACUUGUAAUGAAUUUUAAGUCAAAGGAGGGAACUUGUCAAAAUUCGAAAAUCCUGUUUGAGUGUGACCCGGCCGCAACGGAGGAAGUUCCGGAGUAUGUUGGAAUGGAAGGUUGUACGCAUUUGUUCUCAUGGCGAACAUCGUUCGCCUGUAAGAAAACCGAACCUUGUUCUGUGGUGGAUCCCAUCAGCGGGUUAGUAUUCAAUAUGACUUCCCUAGCGAAACAAACCUAUACUGUGAAGCAAGGCGAGGCAACUUAUGAGUUUGGUAUUUGCGAUAUGACAAAAAGUCGCUGCCCGGAUCAAUCCGGUGCCUGUCAGAUAGCUUCGGAUAAUUCACAAGCUGUCAGCUUGGGAACCAUCAACGACAAACUGCUGUAUAACAUCACGGGAGCGCCUUACCUACGCUACACAUCAGGUUCAAUUUGUGAUCACUCCAACAGCAAAUGGUCUACCAGAAUAGAAUUCAUCUGUCAAACAGACAAAGGAGAAAAACUACCUCCCAAACUGGUAGAGAAUGCUGGCUGCGAAGUAAUUAUUCAAAUAGAAACCGAACUUGCGUGCACCAGAGAUAUCUCCUGUUCUGCAAUGAAUUUCUCCAGUGAUCGGGAAGUGGAUCUGAGUCCGUUGAUUUCUGCGGAUCACAAUUACGAAGCUCUGGUCAACAGUUCAUUGCAGCAGGUCGCAAAUAAACGACAGAAGUUCUACUUGAACGUUUGUCGUCCGCUGUUAUCCACGUUUGGCCUUGGUUGUCCGGGAGGAUCCGCCGCGUGUCUUGCAGUUCAAGGUCCGUCAGAUCUCACACCGACCAGUGAACUAUCGCUCGGCUAUCCGGAUGUAUCGUUGACAAUCGUUGGAGAACGGGCACAGCUUCGGUAUCUUCGUGGCGAUGAUUGUCCGCAGGACAAUGCUACAAAGCUUUCCACCGAGAUAGAAUUUUAUUGUGCCCCCGAGGCAGGUCGUGGAAAUCCGAUUUUACAGGAGAUAUUACACGAUUGCCACUAUCGAUUCGAGUGGCCCACGAAUGUGGUUUGUCCAAGCACUAAAGCGGACUUCACUUCUAGUGAUUGUGUGAUAUUCAAUGGUCAAACUAAGACAAAAGUUGAUUUACGGGAUAUUUUCGCUAACGGGGCACUGAUUGUAGAUCCUAGUCCGAAAAGUAAAUCGGAAGAACUGAAGGAUGGGAAAGUGUUACUUUGCAGUAAAAAUAUAAGCGCAGUUGUGGACUAUAGCAAACAGGCUGUGAAAAUGUUUUUCACAGUGACGGAUGCAUUAUGCGAAGGAACAGGAGGUACGGUCAACGUUAAUCUACGAGUUAACUGUGCGGAUGAGCAGAGUUUCUCCAUGAACGAGCAAAGUGCUUGUCAUCUGAUAUUAACUCAGCAGACACCAAAAAUAUGCGCUUUCGUUGGCGCUUCCUCAAGAACGGGUGGAAAUGACGAUAAAGAUCACUCGACGGAACACAACCUGUCGUCAACUCCGGAAACUAAAACCUCAACUCAAACAGAAAGUUCAUCCAGUAUGAAUGACAAUUCUGCGGAAGUGUCCGGAUCUCCUGGAAGUGCACUUGGAAUCAUUUUGGCAGCCUUAACGCUGGUGUCUUUGACCGGAGCCGCAGCUCUACUCCUCUGGCGAAAUCCGGCCCGACGUGAAUGCGUGCGAUCGCUGUUCGGAAGGCGCAACGUCUCGGUGCAGUACUCUAGGGACGGCUUUUCCAGUUAGCAAUCUUUUCACACAUCUGAGCACAGAGUGUUGUGGAAUCCUUCUAUGAACUUUGAUCCCAGUUUUUGCCCCGUUACUGCAGUUGAAAGGUAAGCAAUGAGGAAGCCAAUCUUUUGAUGCACACCCCGGGAACGAUUUCCGAUAGUGAUGAUGAAUUACUUAUUUAAAAACGCUUUCCAAGUACUUGGCCUUAUCAGAGAUAAUAUGAAAGCAACAGAUCGACCAAAGUUGUAGCUAGGAAAUAUGAGAAUGGCUUUUUUAUUUAAACACUUGUUUUUUUUUGUUUAAGGCCGUUGCGAGCGAAGCUCGAAUUUGUUACUUAAAUGAAAUAAAUAUCCUAAACACAUCAAAUUUGAUUUCAAUGAGUGAGACAUUUAUAAAUAAAACUUAGGCGUAUUCAGAAUGUAUGAUUUGUACUUUAUAAUUAACAUAUUUUUUAUACUAAGAGUAAAAAACUAGAAGAUUAGUGAAAAUACGACGUACUAUAAACACGACAGUGAUUUAUUUACAUG